rnacentral:rRNA from 1 species
CCUACGGGAGGCAGCAGUGGGGAAUAUUGGACAAUGGGGGGAACCCUGAUCCAGCCAUGCCGCGUGUGUGAAGAAGGCCCUCGGGUUGUAAAGCACUUUCAGUGAGGAAGAACGCCUGGUGGUUAAUACCCAUCAGGAAAGACAUCACUCACAGAAGAAGCACCGGCUAACUCCGUGCCAGCAGCCGCGGUAAUACGGAGGGUGCGAGCGUUAAUCGGAAUUACUGGGCGUAAAGCGCGCGUAGGUGGCUUGAUAAGCCGGUUGUGAAAGCCCCGGGCUCAACCUGGGAACGGCAUCCGGAACUGUCAAGCUAGAGUGCGGGAGAGGAAGGUAGAAUUCCCGGUGUAGCGGUGAAAUGCGUAGAGAUCGGGAGGAAUACCAGUGGCGAAGGCGGCCUUCUGGACUGACACUGACACUGAGGUGCGAAAGCGUGGGUAGCAAACAGGAUUAGAUACCCCUGUAGUC